AUCAAUAGAUGCCGUUAGUUAAAC
rnacentral:siRNA from 1 species